rnacentral:lncRNA from 1 species
AUGUAUAGGGGGAAGGGGACAGGGAUACUGGAGUGAUGGAGGUAGAUAUGUAUAGGGGGAAGGGGACAGGGAUACUGGAGUGAUGGAGGUAGAUAUGUAUAGGGGGAAGGAGACAGGGAUACUGGAGUGAUGGAGGUAGAUAUGUAUAGGGGGAAGGAGACAGGGAUACUGGAGUGAUGGAGGUAGAUAUGUAUAGGGGGAAGGAGACAGGGAUACUGGAGUGAUGGAGGUAGAUAUGUAUAGGGGGAAGGUGACAGGGAUACUGGAGUGAUGGAGGUAGAUAUGUAUAGGGGGAAGGAGACAGGGAUACUGGAGUGAUGGAGGUAGAUAUGUAUAGGGGGAAGGGGACAGGGAUACUGGAGUGAUGGAGGUAGAUAUGUAUAGGAGACAGGGAUACUGGAGUGAUGGAGGUAGAUAUGUAUAGGGGGAAGGAGACAGGGAUACUGGAGUGAUGGAGGUAGAUAUGUAUAGGGGACAGGGAUACUGGAGUGAUGGAGGUAGAUAUGUAUAGGGGGAAGGGGACAGGGAUACUGGAGUGAUGGAGGUAGAUAUGUAUAGGGGGAAGGAGACAGGGAUACUGGAGUGAUGGAGGUAGAUAUGUAUAGGGGGAAGGGGACAGGGAUACUGGAGUGAUGGAGGUAGAUAUGUAUAGGAGACAGGGAUACUGGAGUGAUGGAGGUAGAUAUGUAUAGGGGGAAGGGGACAGGGAUACUGGAGUGAUGGAGGUAGAUAUGUAUAGGGGACAGGGAUACUGGAGUGAUGGAG